ensembl:lncRNA
UUUUUCAUAAGUUGUUAGGUGCAAGGUUUGUGGGGGAGAGAAAGGGAUGGAUGAGAAAGAGAAGGUUAGUGGGGGUGGGGGAAAGGAAGGGAUGGAUGAGAAAGAGAAGGUUUGUGAGGGUGGGGGAAAGGAAGGAAUGGAUGAGAAAGAGAAGGUUUGUGAGGAUGGGGGAAAGGAAGGGAUGGAUGAGAAAGAGAAGGUUUGUGAGGAUGGGGGAAAGGAAGGGAUGGAUGAGAAAGAGAAGGUUUGUGAGGAUGGGGGAAAGGAAGGGAUGGAUGAGAAAGAGAAGGUUUGUGAGGAUGGGGGAAAGGAAGGGAUGGAUGAGAAAGGCCCG